AAUAAAUUUCUUCCUUUGAGGAGGAAAGAAUCUCUCUACAUGAAGGAUCCAAAUCUCCCAUGUCUGGGGCAUUGAGGUUGAUAGGGGACGGAAUUGAUGUUCUAAUAACAUUUUCAAGAGUACUCUUGGAUUUCAUCAAGCUAAUCUUCUAUUCAACCAGAGUAACUUGAAUUUCUUAGUUCAACCAUGGGCUUGAUCCAUGGCUGAACUCACAAAUGGAACAUCAAAGUGGAUUAUCCAUAUAUACAUGCUAUGCCUUCUCAUUCUGCUGUCUUAUUGGAAGCCGAAGAUAGAACAUCUGUGUCUGAGGUUUCACUUUUGCUUCUUGCAAGUACAUAAAAGUCAUUGAAAUGCUCAUUGGUGUAGAGGGUCAGUUAAUACUUAAUAGAGUUCAUUUUUAUUGCAUCUUUCUCAUAGUCAAUUUCCACCUUGAAUUUGAAAUUGAGUCCAAAUUUUACAGUAUAGUAUUCUUAUUAGAAUGUUACCUGAUUUUAGACCCAUUUUUCUUAUGUUCAGUUGAUAAGAUGAUUAUAUCUACCAUGAGGUAGUUAACAUUUGAAGGUUUAGGUUACUUGUAGCAGAGUGCUUUGGAUAAGCUAGGAGAAGAACAUGCACGAAUGAUGAAAUGCAUCAUCAUGAUGAUUUUGAGGAGGUUCAAGCUCCAAGAGAAUGCUAAAAUUGAUCUUUCCUACUGUGACUGCACCCAUUAAAGUGGUUAACAAAGCUGAUGUUGUGAAGAAUGCUGCUCUUUUUAAUGUACUAGUGAUGCCAAAACUUUAUGGUGACCUUAUUAGUGACCUUUGUGCUGGCUUGGUUGGGGGUUUGGGCUUGACACCAAGGUAAUUUUUGCACUUUGGUAAACAAAUUCUAGAAGCUACAAUCUUAUCACCUGGCAUCAUUGGUGAGGCCGUGAGGGAGGUAUUGCUUUAGCUGAGGUUGUACAUGGUUUAGCACCUGAUAUUGCUGGAAAGAAUUUGGCAUAUCCAACUGCUUGACUGCUGAGCGGUGUUUCAGUGUUGCGCCAUUUGAGUCUCCAUGACAAAGCGGACCAAAUUCACAAUGCCAUCCUCAACACAAUUACAGAAGGGAAGUACCGAACUGCUGAUCUUGGAGGCAAAGCAAAGACAACCGAAUUCGCGAAUGAAAUUAUUGAUCAUCUCUUGAGUAGGCAAGGAAUUGCUGCACAUUACGGCGCUCUUAGAAUACUGUAAAACUCUGUUCAUCCCAAUAAUGAUGUGUGAUACACACUGCAACCAAAUAUUAAGACAAGAAAAGGCCUUCUCACACCAUGCGAGAUACUUCCAAAAAGAAAAAGACACACAAAUGCUUCUCGUAUCAUGUGAUAAACCCAUGGUCAUAUUCUGGUGUUUCACCUCCCAGUCCUGUUUUGGGUCCUCUGGGAAGUUUUAAAAAUAACUUUUUUGAGUUUUGACUUGUGAAAAUGAGUAGUAUUAAUGUUUGAUAUAAUUUUCAAAACUAAAUUGCAGUUUUCUAAAAAGUUAUUAUAGAGAGGUUAAAAAAAUUACUUUUCCUAUAAUACUACUAUUUUUUAUCACAUUUCUUUUAAAAUAAGCACUUUU